rnacentral:rRNA from 1 species
ACGCACGCUGGCGGCGUGCUUAACACAUGCAAGUCGAACGAAGAGCGAUGGAAGCUUGCUUCUAUCAAUCUUAGUGGCGAACGGGUGAGUAACGCGUAAUCAACCUGCCCUUCAGAGGGGGACAACAGUUGGAAACGACUGCUAAUACCGCAUACGAUCUAAUCUCGGCAUCGAGGAUAGAUGAAAGGUGGCCUCUACAUGUAAGCUAUCACUGAAGGAGGGGAUUGCGUCUGAUUAGCUAGUCGGAGGGGUAACGGCCCACCAAGGCGAUGAUCAGUAGCCGGUCUGAGAGGAUGAACGGCCACAUUGGGACUGAGACACGGCCCAGACUCCUACGGGAGGCAGCAGUGGGGAAUCUUCCGCAAUGGACGAAAGUCUGACGGAGCAACGCCGCGUGAGUGAUGACGGCCUUCGGGCUGUAAAGCUCUGUUAAUCGGGACGAAAGGCCUUCUUGCGAACAGUUAGAAGGAUUGACGGUACCGGAAUAGAAAGCCACGGCUAACUACGUG